rnacentral:rRNA from 2 species
UCACUGGUGUUCGGGUUGUCAUGCCAAUGGCACUGCCCGGUAGCUAAAUGCGGAAGAGAUAAGUGCUGAAAGCAUCUAAGCACGAAACUUGCCCCGAGAUGAGUUCUCCCUGAGACUUWRRGUCUCCUGAAGGAACGUUGAAGACGACGACGUUGAUAGGCCGGGUGUGUAAGCGCAGCGAUGCGUUGAGCUAACCGGUACUAAUGAACCGUGAGGCUUAACCUU